GGGGUCGUAGUUCAACUGGUUAGAGCGCCGGCCUGUCACGCCGGAGGUUGCGGGUUCGAGCCCCGUCGACCCCGCAA
rnacentral:tRNA from 1 species